rnacentral:rRNA from 1 species
UACGUAGGGUGCGAGCGUUGUCCGGAAUUAUUGGGCGUAAAGAGCUCGUAGGCGGUGUGUCACGUCGGCCGUGAAAACCUGCAGCUUAACUGUGGGCGUGCGGUCGAUACGGGCAGGCUGGAGUUCGGUAGGGGAGACUGGAAUUCCUGGUGUAGCGGUGAAAUGCGCAGAUAUCAGGAGGAACACCGGUGGCGAAGGCGGGUCUCUGGGCCGAUACUGACGCUGAGGAGCGAAAGCGUGGGGAGCGAACAGGA